UGAGGCUAAUCAUUUCCAAUUGCAGUUGAUG
rnacentral:piRNA from 1 species